ensembl:lncRNA
CUUGUUCCUCUUCUUAAGGAAAAGCUUGCAGUUCUUUACUGUGAACUGUGAUGUGAGCUGUGGGCUUGUCAUAUAUGACCUUUGUUAUGUUAAGGUACAUUCCCUGUAUACCCACAUUCUUGAGAAUUUUUAAAAUCAUGAAUGGAUGUUAAAUUUCAUCAAAUGCUUCUUCUGUAUCUUUUAAGAUAUAUGGUUUUUAUCCUUUUUUUGUUGGUGGUAUGUUUCUUUCAAAAUUAAGCUACAAUUGAUUUACAGUGUUGUGCCAAUUUCUGCUAUAUAGCAAAGUGACUCAGUCAUACAUAUAUACAUUUUUACAUAUUAUUUUCCUUCUUGGUCUAUCCCAAUAAAUUGGAUAUAUUUCCCUGCUGCUAUAUAGUCAGAUCUUGCUGUCUAUCUAUUUUAAAUUUAAUAGUCUGUAUCUACUUAGCUCAAACUCCAAGUUUAACCCACUCUCUCUUCUCUCCCCCCUUGGCAACCACCAGUCUAUUCUUUAUGUCUCUGAGUCUGUUUCUGUUUUGUAGGCAGGCUCAUUUAUGCCAUAUUUUAGAUUCCACAUAUGAGUGAUAUUGCGUGGUCUUUCUCUUUCAGACUUAUUUCACUUAGUAUAAGAAUUUCUAGUUCCAGCAGUUCCCGUCCUGGCGCAGUGAAAACGAAUCCGACUAGGAACCAUGAGGUUGCAGUUCUGUGAAAAGCAUCAUGGAUAAUUUGAUAGGGAUCACAUUAAAUCGGUAGAUUGCUUUUAGUAUGGCCAUUUUAACAAUAUUAAUUCUUCCAAUCCAAAACAUGGGAUAUCUUUCCAUUUUUUGAAUCCUCUUUUAUUUCCUUUAUUAAUAUUUUAUAGUUCUCAGCAUAAGCCUUUCAUCUUCUUGGUCAGGUUAUAUCCUUUAUUUUGCUAAUGUGAUAUAUCAUGUUGAUUGAUUUGCAGAUGUUGAACCAUCCUUGCAUCCCUAGAAUAAAUUCCACUUGACUAUGAUGUAUUAUCCUUUUAAUGUAUUCCUGAAUUCCAUUUGCUAAUACUUUGUUGAAAAUUUUUGCUUCUAUGUUCAUCAAUAAUAAUGGCCUGUAUUUUUCUUGUGAUGUCCUUGUUUGGUUUUGGAAUCAGAGUAAUGUUGGACUCAUAAAAUGAGUUUGGAAGUAUUCCUUCUUCUAUGUUUUGUAAGAGUUUGAGAACAACUGGUAUUAAUCUUUCUUGAAUGUAUGUUAAAAUUCAUAAGUGAAGCCAUUCAGUCAUAGAAUUUUUAUUUUAUUAGAGGGUUUUUUAAAAUUACUGAUUCAAUUUAAGAAGGUUGUAUAUAAAUAAGAUUUAUUUUUCAUUUUUUCCUAGGUUGUCCAGUUUUUUGCCAUAUAGUCAUUCAUAGCAGCCUCUUACCAUUCUUUGUAUAUAUGUGGUAUCAGUUGUAACGCCUCAUUUUCAUUUAUAAUUGCUUUAAUUUGGCUUCUCUCACUUUUUUCUUGGUGAGUCUAGGUAAAGUUUUGUCAAUUCUAUCACUUCAAAGAAAUAGCUGUUAGUUUCAUCCAUCUUUUCUACCGUCUUUUUCAUGUUUAUUUAUUUCUAUCCUGGUAUUAUUUACUUCCUUCUAAUAACGUUCAGUUUUUAUUGUUUCUAGGUCCUUGAGGUGUGAUGUUAGGUUGUUUGGGAUUUUGUGCCUUGUUUCUGGUAGGCAUUUGUUGCUAUGAACUUCCCUCUCAGAACUGCUUUUACUUUAUCUCACUUAUUAUGGUAUAUUCUAUUUUCAUUUUAAUUUGUCUGAAGGUAAUUUUGGUUUUUCUUUUGACUUAUUCGUUGACCUAUUGUUUGUUCAGUAGCAUGUAUAAUCUACAAAUAUUUGUGAACUUCCUAGUUUUCCUGCUGUAAUUGAUUUCUAGUUUCAUACCAUUGUGGUCAGAAAAGAUGCUUGAUAUUAUUUAAGUAUUCUUAAAUUUAUUAAGACUUGUUUUGUGGCUCAAUUUAUAAUCUAUUUUGGAGAAUAUUCCAUGUACAUUAGAGAGGAGUAUGUAUUCUCCUUCUUUUGGAUGAAAUGUGUAUAUCUCUCUACAUACAGAUACUUCUGUUAAGUCCAUCUGGUCUAACAUGUCAUAUAAGGCUGAAAUUUCCUUACCGAUUUUCUGUCUGAUCUAUACAUUGGCUUAAGUAUUGAAGUUCCCUAUUAUUUUGUUUACUUUUUAUUAACCUAUAGUUGAUUUACAAUGUUCCUUCAGUUUUUGCUGUACAAAAAAUAGACCCAGCCACCCAUACAAACCUAUUUUUUUCUUUUCACUUUCCAUCAGGUUCUUACCCAAGAGACUGGACACAGUUCCAGUGAUGUACAGCAGGACCCCAUCACCCAUCCAUUCUAAAUGUAACAGUCUGCAUCUACUAACCCCUAACUGCUUCCCCACCCCUGACAAACACAGGUCUUCCCUCCAUGUUCAUGAUUUUUUUUCUGUUUGGUAGAUAAAUCAUUUGUGCCACAUUUUACGUUCCACAUAUAAGUGAUAUCAUAUGGUGGUUGCCUUUCUCUUUCUGACUUACUUCACUUAGCAUAAGAGUCUCUAGUUCCAUCCAUGUUUCUGGAAAUGGCAUUAUUUUGUUCUUUUUAUGGCUGAGUAGUAUUCCAUUGUGUACAAGUACCACGUCUUCUUAAUCCAUUCAUCUGUUGAUGGAUAUUUAAGUUGUGUCCAUGUCUUGGCUAUUGUGAAUAGUGCUGUAAUGAACUAGGGGUGCAUGUAUCUUUUUGAAUGAAAGUUUUGUUUGGAUAUAUACCCAGGAGUGGGAUUGCUGGAUCAAUAUGGUAGUUCUAUAUGUAGUUUUCUGAGGUACUUUCACACCAUUUUCCAUAGUGGUUGUACCAAUUUACAUUUCCACCAACAGUGUAGGAGGUUCCCUUUUCCCCACAUCCUCGCCAGUAUUUGUUGUUUGUUGACUUGUUAAUCACAGCCAAUCUAACUGGUGUGAGGUUGUACCUCACUGUAGUUUGAUUUGCAUUUUUCUAAUAAUUAGUGAUGUUGAGCAUUUUUUCAUGUGCCUGUUGGCCAUCCCUAUGUCUUUUAUGGAGAAAUGUCUAUUUAGGUCUUCUGCCCACUUUUCAAUUGGAUUUUUUUUUUUAAUUUUUGCUUUUUAGGGCCACACCUGUGGAAUAUGGAGGUUCACAGGCUAUGAGUCAAACUGGAGU